rnacentral:rRNA from 1 species
AUGUCGAAGAGCGUGUGGUCCCUCCGAGACGAUGAUGAUUAUUCACUGCUACCUGUAUACGGCGAUGAGACGUCUGAUCCGAAGCUAUGGCUGCAUGAUCUCUAUAAUACGUUGAGCCAAGACAGGUUUUUUGCUGUUCUUACCACCCUAUGGGCGAUAUGGUGGGCGCGCCACAAGGCUAUUCAUGAGCAGGAAUUUCAAAGUCCAUUGUCCACGCAUUUGUUCAUUAAACGCUAUUUACAAGAGUUGAAAGAACUACCAGCCAAGAAGCAAAAGAUCAAGAAUACUAGUGGAGCUGCUAGUACACCAGCACCUAGAUGGAUACCGCCAUCACCAGGAGAGACCAAACUGAAUGCUGAUGGGGCUGUGGCGAAGUCAUCAAAUUUUGGUGCCGUGGGUGUGAUCUGUCGCAAUGCAGAGGGACAGUUUCUUGGCGCUUCUGCACUGGUCUUCAAGGGAGUAACCGAGCCUGCAAUGCUUGAGGCUUAUGCAUGUAGAGAGGCUCUAGCUUUGGCAGAAGCUAUGGUCGUCACCAAAGUGCGUAUAGCAUCCGACUGUCUGAGAGUCAUCAACGACCUGAAAAGCCAAGUGCGUCGAGGAGAAUAUUGCAUGAUCUUAAAUGAUAUACAUGAGACGAAGUCGAGUUUCCUUAGGGCCUGUUUGGUUCCAAUAAGUCGCCUGACUUAUAAGUCUUGUCACCUGACUUAUAAGUCACCUGACACACCUUCCCUCACCAAUCAACAUCAUGCAGGUGGUGGGACCCAUGCAAAAGGGGGUGACUUAUAA